GUUAGGUAGAACCACCAACAGCCUUGCAACUACUAAGGAGGAGAUUAUGGAAACCAAUAUUAGGACAGCAGAAGAUUUUCACCAAAAGCGAAUGGAAGUCACUCAUCUUUAAAAAUGACACCGUAGACCACCUACCACAACUGAUCCAUGGAAAGGUUCCCCAAAAGGCAGCCUGCAAGAUCACACCAAGGAGACAGAAUGUGUCCCCACAGAAAGCUGAGAAAAUCCACUCAGACUGCGUUACUCUAACAGAAGACAGUCAUUGCUGAUUCUACUCCCAUUGAGCAGCAUAUAGAAAUAGCCAUUAAGUUCAAUAGAGCAGGACCACACAAUUAAAGGAGAAAAGAUUACCUCCUUUUUCCAUUUUCUUCUGCUAACAUAGAAAAUGAUAAAAAACCCUGACUUUUUUCUUGCUAUUCCCAGUAUUUGCAUAAAUCUGUGCUCUAAUCAUCAACCCACAGACCUAUGACCCAAAAGCUUGAGGGCUAGAUCUUCACUUUGAUCCAACAAUUAAUCAAAUCUUCAUGACCCAGCUGAGGAUCCCCACCAGAAGAAAAGGUUUUUCUGGUCCCAAAAACUGGGACUUCUGGUGCAAUGGUACCACAGCCUCCCCUCACACAGGGAAAGACAUCCCACCUGCCCUUCACUGGCAGUAAAACCUCUGCUCUAGGGCAGCAACUGAGAAGCUUUUGGACACCUGGCACCUCCAGGACUGGAGAACUGCCUGUGUGUCCUUUAAGUACUAGAAACACAAGCUGAGCACAGCUGAGACACCAGGUGUUGACUUUCAGUUGCUUUAUCAACCCACACCCUUUUUUGUAAGAAGAGGGUACUUGCCUACUUACAUCACAUGGUGUUUGGGCUGUUAGUUUCACGAACAUAAACACAUCC